ACCAGGAUGGCCGAGUGGUUAAGGCGUUGGACUUAAGAUCCAAUGGAAACAUAUCCGCUUGGGAUCGAUCCCCACUUCUGGUA